GACGAACGCUGGCGGCGUGCUUAACACAUGCAAGUCGAACGGAAAGGCCCUGCUUUUGUGGGGUGCUCGAGUGGCGAACGGGUGAGUAACACGUGAGUAACCUGCCCUUGACUUUGGGAUAACUUCAGGAAACUGGGGCUAAUACCGGAUAGGAGCUCCUGCUGCAUGGUGGGGGUUGGAAAGUUUCGGCGGUUGGGGAUGGGCUCGCGGCUUAUCAGCUUGUUGGUGGGGUAGUGGCUUACCAAGGCUUUGACGGGUAGCCGGCCUGGGAGGGUGACCGGCCACCUUGGGACUGAGAUACGGCCCAGACUCCUACGGGAGGCAGCAGUGGGGAAUAUUGCGCAAUGGGCGGAAGCCUGAUGCAGCAACGCCGCGUGCGGGAUGACGGCCUUCGGGUUGUAAACCGCUUUCGCCUGUGACGAAGCGUGAGUGACGGUAAUGGGUAAAAAAGCACCGGCUAACUACGUG
rnacentral:rRNA from 1 species